ACCUGGCGCAGGUGAGCCCGGCGUCGCCGCUGGAGCCGAAAACCCCGGGCCCGGUGAGGGAUGGGCAGGUCCCCUCACCUGCCGGCCCCGCCGAGGCUGUGCCCCCUCACCUGGCGCUCACCUGGGCACGGCACCGCCGGCACAGCCCCCACUUCCCCCUCUGCUCCUUCUGCUGCGGCUGCUGCCGGAACCGCGGCUGCGGCUUCUGCUGCCGCACCUGAGCGCACCUGACUGCACCUGGGCACACCUGGGCACGGCUGAGACUCACCUGAGCACACCUGGGCACAGCUGGGCACACCUGAGUGCA